GAUUCAUUCAGAAACUUCGAUAAAAUUCAAAUGAUACGGAGAAGAUUAACAUGAUCCCUGCGUAAUAAAGAUGUGCAUAAAUCAAGAAAUUGUUCAAAUUUUU